GUGGGGAAUAUUCCGCAAUGGACGAAAGUCUGACGGAGCAACGCCGCGUGAGUGAUGAAGGUUUUCGGACUGUAAAGCUCUGUUGUUUAGGACGAAAGUGCCUGUUGCAAAUAGUUACAGGUAUUGACGGUACUGAACGAGGAAGCCACGGCUAACUACGUGCCAGCAGCCGCGGUAAUACGUAGGUGGCAAGCGUUGUCCGGAAUUAUUGGGCGUAAAGAGCAUGUAGGCGGGAAUCUAAGUCUGUUGUGAAAAUGCGGGGCUCAACCCCGUAUUGCGAUGGAAACUGGGUUUAUUGAGUGCAGGAGAGGAAAGGGGAAUUCCCAGUGUAGCGGUGAAAUGCGUAGAUAUUGGGAGGAACACCAGUGGCGAAGGCGCCUUUCUGGACUGUGUCUGACGCUGAGAUGCGAAAGCCAGGGUAGCGAACGGGAUUAGAUACCCUAGUAGUCC
rnacentral:rRNA from 1 species